AGUUGAUUUUGUUCAAAUUUUGCUAUAUUUUCCUUUCUCCUCUAAAAGUUUCUGUCUGUCUUCCUUUCAGAGAGGGAGGAGGAAACUUGCUGUGCCCCCACGAAGAUGAAUCGAUCUGGCAGGUUAUUCACUAGGAUGAAGCAUGAGUAGAAAACAACAAAGGAGAAAAGAAGGAGGAGUUGAUGAUAUUGAUACCCAGGUCCAAUCGGAGCUACUGCUUGAAAUGACCAUCAUGGCUUCAGAGCUGGCCUCAUAAACUCCAGAAUGGCUACCUCCCUUCCGACAAACGCAUCUUAAAGGAUGAGGAUUGGCAGUGGACUACGACUCACUCAUGCUUUCCCUCAUAUAAUUUCUAAUCCCAUUGAAACUGAUGGAAGGCUUUAAUUACUGGAAAGCUUCUGACCUUAUUCUCUUCCUCUCUCUGUUUCUCAUGUAUUUCUGUUUAGUUACUUUGUAAUUGACAUUUGUGAGGCUUUCAGUCUGAGACAGGUAACUUGAUAAGAGAAGGGCAAGCCACACAAGACAUUGACUGAGUCAGUUUCAGGUGACAUGAGCAUUGAAUGGUUACAGCUGAUUUGGUGUAAGGUUCCUUUCUGAUUUAAAUUUGUUAGUUGGCUGUGCGUUUGAAUC